AACUGUGUUUAAAAAUGGUGUAAUAAGACUUUUCUGCAAUAGAAUAGAAGAUUGCUUUUAUAUGUUUUAUCCAAUACAAAAUAAAACCCGAGUAGCCAAAGUCAUUAUGCGUUUUUGGAAUUUUCUUUUUAAUGAUGAUCACAAAUUCGACCAAACAAGUUGACUAAUGGCAAGAAAAAAUGUAGAGAUAUAUUUAACUGGUUUCAGAGAAGGCAUGAGGAUAGAGGGAAAUGACCAAAUAACUUUACCCCAAAGGGAAAUGAACUUUUGGUAAUGGGAGAACAAAAA
rnacentral:sRNA from 1 species